GGAUCCAGACUUUGAUUAUGGGUCAGAUUGAACGCUGGCGGCAUGCCUUACACAUGCAAGUCGAACGGCAGCACGGGGCAACCUGGUGGCGAGUGGCGAACGGGUGAGUAAUAUAUCGGAAUGUACCCUAGAGUGGGGGAUAACGUAGCGAAAGUUACGCUAAUACCGCAUACGAUCUACGGAUGAAAGUGGGGGAUUCGCAAGAACCUCAUGCUCAUGGAGCAGCCGAUAUCUGAUUAGCUAGUUGGUAGGGUAAAAGCCUACCAAGGCGACGAUCAGUAGCUGGUUUGAGAGAACGACCAGCCACACUGGAACUGAGACACGGUCCAGACUCCUACGGGAGGCAGCAGUGGGGAAUUUUGGACAAUGGGGGCAACCCUGAUCCAGCAAUGCCGCGUGAGUGAAGAAGGCCUUCGGGUUGUAAAGCUCUUUUGUCAGGGAAGAAAAGGUAGCCUCUAAUACAGGCUGCUCAUGACGGUACCUGAAGAAUAAGCACCGGCUAACUACGUGCCAGCAGCCGCGGUAAUACGUAGGGUGCAAGCGUUAAUCGGAAUUACUGGGCGUAAAGCGUGCGCAGGCGGUUAUAUAAGUCAGAUGUGAAAUCCCUGGGCUCAACCUAGGAACUGCAUUUGAGACUGUAUGGCUAGAGUGUGUCAGAGGGGGGUAGAAUUCCACGUGUAGCAGUGAAAUGCGUAGAUAUGUGGAGGAAUACCGAUGGCGAAGGCAGCCCCCUGGGAUAACACUGACGCUCAUGCACGAAAGCGUGGGGAGCAAACAGGAUUAGAUACCCUGGUAGUCCACGCCCUAAACGAUGUCUACUAGUUGUUGGGUCUUAAUUGACUUAGUAACGCAGCUAACGCGUGAAGUAGACCGCCUGGGGAGUACGGUCGCAAGAUUAAAACUCAAAGGAAUUGACGGGGACCCGCACAAGCGGUGGAUGAUGUGGAUUAAUUCGAUGCAACGCGAAAAACCUUACCUACCCUUGACAUGUACAGAAUGCCGAAGAGAUUUGGCGGUGCUCGCAAGAGAACUGUAACACAGGUGCUGCAUGGCUGUCGUCAGCUCGUGUCGUGAGAUGUUGGGUUAAGUCCCGCAACGAGCGCAACCC
rnacentral:rRNA from 1 species